AAUAUUCCAUACCUAAGCACCCCCACGGUUGCGUAACCCGUAACCGGCAUAGGUUGUAUUUGAUCAACCUCAUUUAUGAUUUGCUUUAACACCACUGACCCACUACUUUGAUAACCUUUUAAAGUAGAUCCAAUGAUUGAAGACCACCUCAGUAUUCCAAAAGUCACUUUUGCAAUAAGGAACAAACGUCUCCACUUUAAGCUCUCUUCCGAACCCCAAAUCUAAAGCCUUUUGCAGGUUUCCACAUCUUCCUCUGUUUCUCUCCAUCAUUUGCAAACCCUGGUCUGGAAUAUCAUUCGCAACAGCGCAGAGGAUAAGGAUAGAACAGGUAGAAGAUGCCGCGGCGGAGAUAGAGCUUACCGGGUCUGGAAUAAAAUUCCCGAGAAAAACUAUUUAGGACAAGCUUUGGAAGAACUCAGAUGCUACACGCGAUGUCUUACUCCGGUGGGAGAUUGCUGGCUACCCUGAAGUUGCAGUCACAGUUGGAAGCUCCGAACCCUUAAAGUAUCUUGCAAAAUUCUCUAUCUAUGGAAACAACAAUCAGACUGUUUUGUGCUACUUAGUGAUGUAGGUCAUGAGUUGACUGGAAAGCAUGCCAUGGAAUUAGUUGACAACUACUUUCAGGUUAGUUGGCUUCAGAUUUUACAUGGACCUAGAGUUAUUUAUACUCGCUUUUUUAAAACAAUGGUAGUCUAAUGAAAACAUUAGUGCGGACAAUGAGAUGCCUGCUCCCCAAGCUUUAUUCUACACCAUUGGUCAAACACAUAAGUUCAGGGUCAGAGUAUCUGAGUACAACUUGACAGGGAAGACUAAGUCUAUAACUGUUACAAAGGUGCUUUCUUCAUCGGUUCUGCCCCCUAUAGCAGCCCCAGUUGAGAGUGAUGUGUGUGCAUCUUCGAAAGGUUGUGGAGACCUUGCUGAUGAGGAAAAUGAAAGCACCAGUAACACCCACGUAUCACAGAAAGCUAAUCGUGCUGCUGGAUAAUAGAGCUUUCGACUCAUCCCAGUGCUAGCAUGCGUUGGAGUGUUACUCUUUUGUUUUUUUUUUUAAGUUUGUGCUUCGACUAAGUUUUUCUUUAUUUGGUUUUCAACCAUCGUUAUUGCUAUGACUUAAUAUUUGAACACAGUUUACUUAUUUGUUAGCUUUUUUUCUUUAAGAGCAAAGAUUUCGAGGCUC